UGCAGGAGUGUCAAAUUCAAGGCCCACCGGAUUCUUAGAUGUGGCCCACAGGCUGCCUUGGAAACAGCAAAGGACUGGCCCAUAGUGCCUCUGCCAGUGAGUUGCAGGAGGCUGUCACAGCUAAAAAUGGAGCUCAGGAGCCUGUUUUCUCUGGCAGAGUGCACGGGUACCACAGGCCCCGGACACAA
rnacentral:snoRNA from 1 species